UAGGGAAUCUUCCACAAUGGACGCAAGUCUGAUGGAGCAACGCCGCGUGAGUGAAGAAGGUCUUCGGAUCGUAAAACUCUGUUGUUAGAGAAGAACACGAGUGAGAGUAACUGUUCAUUCGAUGACGGUAUCUAACCAGCAAGUCACGGCUAACUACGUGCCAN
rnacentral:rRNA from 1 species